AAAAAAAAAAAAAAAAAAAAAAAAAAAAAAACAGGUUGUUCUUAUGAGAGGUUUUUAUUAAAGGAAAGAUUUCUUUUCAUACUUGUGGAAAAUUUUAAUACAUGUUCGCUUGAAAAGGUGCCAAUAUUUCUGGAGUGGACUGUGCGUAAACCCCAGCUAUGAGACUCAAAAAACUGAACCUCUAGGGUGUUUUUCUCUCUCUGAACCCAGUGGUCUGGGAACGAAAGCUUUCCCAGAGCAGGGCUAUGAGGACACGCCGCACCACCCGUGCAGGACUUUUUCAUGGCAGCACACGAGCCAUCCAUCACAGGCCUGAUGAAAAUAUUACACACUGACUGACGUGUGUGUGUGUGUGUGUGUGCGUGUGCGUGUCGGUUAAAGUUUUGAGUGACGACACAGCGCAGGCAACGUUGCAAAAGCUGAGUAAUAUGGGAAAUUACUGGUGGAAUUAAUUUCUUUCUGUGAUGAUCGUAAUCAGCCGUAAAAGUAGUGGGAAACUUCCUGUGAUAAAGUGGGACAUUUCCCAUGAGUCACUGGGUUCACGACAAGCCAUGACAUGAACAGUGAAGUUUCUCAAGCUAGCCUCGUUUAUUUGCUGAGGUAAUGAAUAAACAUUAAAAAAAAAAAAAAAAAAAAGAAGCAGCAAAGUGUAAGGAACAUGAUUGAGAGAAAACUUUCUAAGAACACAGAAAGAAAAAGCAUUGCAAGAAGCAAAACAACAUUACAGAUGUGGGAAAUACCAGAAUUUUGAAUUAUGAUCCGAUUCACAUUCUCCUGAAUGCGAAUGCGAUUAAUGAGUCAUCGCGAACCGACAUUUUCAUGAACGCAGAUGUUUUGGCCUGCACCAGACACCCUGAUUUUUGUUCAUUAUUUUGAUUUUUUUUUUUUAAUUAAAUAGUAUAUUACAGGAUUAGCGCUGAGUCCUUACAUAACUUUUCUUUCUUUUCUAUAAGAUAGGGGCUUUCAAUGGCGGCCGUCUCGAACAGACCGAGUACGUUUUGGAGGAUGGUGUGGGGGGAGGGGUUAUUGUCUCAAAGUGGGGUCUGGGUACCCCCCCAGGGUCCGUGUAGCUUAUCCAGCGGUCUGUGAUUGUUUUUGUUACGGUGUUUAAAAAUCACAACCAACGUUAAUAACGUUACUAUAUUUAGGGGGCCAAGCACCGAAGUCAACUCAGAGGUAAUGUCUUCUACUGCUUGAAUGUCAGGAAUGGAAAGCUCUAUGCGCUAGAAUUAUUUCAAUAAUGUUCAUGACAUCAAUCAGACUGAGGGGGACUGUGGCAUUUAUUUGACAGUUAACGGGAUCCCUGGCUACAAAAAAAACGUUUGCGCACCGCUGUGACAAACUUAUGGGAAAAGAAACGAGCUAUAAGUCAGCAAGACGUUUUCUAAACCUGAGCGAGUGUCUUUUCUGUAGAAGAUCCUCUGUCGGGUGUGAAAUUUGCCUACAGCUAAAUUAUUUAUCUGAAGGCAGCUCAUCAAAUUAGAGUCUAGCUACAAUACUAGAGAUAUUCGUUCAGAAACUAGAUAACUCGAUUCAGAAAAUACAGGGUGUCCCGAACGUCUCCAUACAUGGGGAGGGGGGGGGGGGGGCAUUUCUUUUGUCAAUUGCAUUCUGAAAAAAAUAUCAUAUAAACUAAGUAUGAACAAUUUUGGAAGACAUUUUGGUAAAAAAAAAAAAAAAAAAAAAAAAGUGUUCAUUUCCCCUCUGUAUGGAGAAUUUUUCCUAUAUGUAGAGACUUUUGGGAGACUCGGUAGAUAUAUAAAAUGGUAAAUGGUGCAUUUAUAUAGCGCUUUUAUACAAAGCGCUUUACCCUGUGUCUCAUUCACUCAUUCACACACACACUCACACACCACUGGUAGCAGAGCUGCCAUGCAAGGCGCUAACUUGCCAUCGGGAGCAACUCGGGGUUCAGUGUCUUGCCCAAGCACACUUCGACGUAUGGAGUCAUGUGGAGUCACGUGGAGUCACGUGGGCCGGGAAUCGAACCGCCAACCCUACGAUUAGUGGACAAUCCGCUCAACCACCUGAUCCACAUGAAUAACCACUUUAAAACAAGACACAAAUAAAAGGUUAGUAGAGCAGCUCUGGCUAGUGAAAUGAGUUGCUUUUCACGUCUUACUAAGGUAAGACUACCUGUUCGUAAACGCUCGCGAUGGACACACUCAUCCGUUAUUCUUGAACAACCGCUUCUCCAUCUUCUCCAUCAAAGAGACAAAAAACAGGCUCGUCUGUAUCAGGAGAAUUCCAUAGAGGGUUGUUUUAUUUGUGAUAGGUUAAUGGACAUGCCAUGGAAGGUUAAAGAUUUGUUUAUGAUCAAUGUCAUACUGUACCUGCUCGAGAAUGCGGGAACUUUAUUCGAAACUGUAUUAUGAGCCGUUCCUAGAUAAAGUGGGAACGAGCUCCGAGUGCCACGGCGGAGAAGUAAAUCAGAGCAGGGUAAUCUCGCACAUAUUGCACUGUACCGUACGUGACGGUCGGCAUUUCCAAAAGAUCUCGGACUGCACCGCCCGACGUCACCUGCAAAAUAGACCGUACAACAGGGUUUGGAGCAGUUAUUCAGAGUGCAGCGGGUACAGAGGAGACUUUUUACCCCAAAACUGGUCAUCGUCUCAAAGAGUGAUAGCAAAAAAACACACACACACACUCGAAAAACAACUCUGAUGUCAUGAUCUGGUCCUCUGGUUUUUGUUCUGGGUUCAUCUCCUGGGUUGAACGUGUUGAACGUCUUGUUUCUGCCCCUGUAUUAUGUGCCUGUAAGUAAACUUAUAUAUCUUUCUGUCUUCAUGGCGAAGAAAAAAAGAAUACGCCCAGUUUCCUGUUUUGGAAAUGAUGGUUAUUAUCCUGGUUUAUGACGAUGGGUUGGUGAAUUCUAUACCACACUAUGCGAUAAAGUGUUCUCCGUGUCAGAUUAUAUGAAGACGAUCGUCUAAGGAUAAACCUGCGAUGUAAAGAACAUUACUGCAUACGGUGCUGCUCACGUCAUCAGUCAGCACCAUGUAGAAAACGGGCUCAUAUAAACGCAAACGUUCUUCAAAGGUGACCCGUAUCAUGAUAGAAAGGUUUGUGAAAAAAUUGACAGUAAUACAGUAACUGAUUCCAGUUUUGUUUUGUUGUUUGUUUUUUUUUAAAGAAAAAGACAUCUAAAUAUCUGCAAUAUCUCAGGAAAGUGUAUUGUGAAACAAUACAGUAUAUCAAAUAUCGGCAUAUUGAGGAUUUCUGUGCAAAACCAUGCCAGUAGGUGGAUUGGCUUUUCAGCACAAAGCAGGAGAGGAGCUACCUGAGGAGCGCCGGUCACGUUUUGGACGUAAUGGAGGUUAGGACGGAUGCAAGUGCAGUUAAGAGCGUUUAAUAAAGAGAGGAAGGCAAACGAAUCCAAAUCAUGAGACAAUAACGUGGUCAAAAACAGGCAAUGGGUCAGGCGAUCUGCAAACAGGCGUAAACAAGGCGAGGCAAGGCAAGAAUCAAGAACGAGAAACAAGAAACAAGAUCAAAGAACACGAAUAAAAAAACGAGGAACAGGGUACAAACGCUCGGUACGGUGAUACCACUCAAUACUUCGCAAAGAGUGAACGCCUCGAGAGUCCUUUUAAACUGUGUUGUGAUUGUGUGUGAGAUUGGAUGCAGGUGUGCGUGAUUAGAAUGAAUGAGUGUUCUGGGAAUUGCGGUCCAUGGCGGCCAUGUUUGUAGGCCAGUUUGUAGCCUUCGCACCUUAGAGGGCAGUUUAAAGUCCCUUCGAUGCUUAAGGGACUUUAAACUGCCCUCUAAGGUGCUAAGGCACUUCUACACCCGCACCAUCGAGAGCCUCCUGAUGGGACGCAUCACAGCCUGGUUAAAGCAGGAUCGGUGGCUCUCCAGCAGGUGGCGAGAUCAGCUGAGCGCACCUGACCUGCAGUCUAUCUACAGCAAGUGGUGCUGGACCAAGGCCAGGAAGAGAUUGAAGGCCCUCAGCCAUCUGACCAACGGACUCUUCUCUCUGUUGCGGGCAGGGAAGUGCUCGCCAGGUGUGCGUGAAUACGUGUGUAUGCUCCAGUAUCCAGCGUCCCAUCCUGCCUCAGUAUUCCCAGAUUCCCCAAAAGCCUGAUAAAAAUAAUGCAUUUACUGGUGAUGGAUUAAUGAACGAGAUACAUACUCUAUAUUCACAUGUGCGAUGCUACAGUAUUUCACACAUUCUCCAGUCUGUCCUGUAAUCCCUCCAUCAAGCUCUAAAUCUUCGUCAACAUCAUCUCUGGCUGGCUCUCAAAGGCAAUAAAGUCGAAUGGGGUUUGUUUUUUUCGUUUCUUUUUUCAACGUGAUGCUUUCACAGCAAACGAAAUACCAAGCCCCUAAAAAGGAAGUCCAGUCCUGAAUCAGAGCAUAGACCAUACGUCUGCUUUUAAGGGUCUCUCUCUCUCUGCCCAUGUCGUCUGCGCUCUGUUCCCAGGAAGGACGUACGUCACCAAGGAUGAGAAAAAAAGUCUAACUACGUGUAUAACUGCAUAACUGGAAAUCGUUAAUUGCUAUUUCUGAUACGUGAAUAUUGCUGCUACUGACUCAUGCAACUCCUCUAUAGGGCGUAAAUUUCUACAGUAAGUAAGGAAAGCACCGUCCAUGUCCUUGCUAACUUAUAGUAAACCCUCUCACAUUAGUCAGGGAUCAUGUAUCAGCGUCUCGGUUUGCAUAUUGUCAUAGGAGAGAGUUAGCUGGUGCGUGGGAAUCGGGGAGAAAAUUAAACCAGCGUAAUGUUACCAUGACAACCCCAAUCUCUGACGUGAUUGGUCCGAAGCUAUACAUCGCAAACCCUGUUAAUAUGAAACUAGUUCGUAGUUUCACUGUUUAUAUCAUCGGAAUCUGCUUCCAAGAAGAGUUCAUGAUUUAAACAUCAUGUUUUGAGUUCGGGGCUACUUUAAAUGAGGUCUGGAUGGUUCUGUAGGUUCCCCUGUGGUGCUCUGGAUCAUUCGGAAGAAGAUCUGAACUUCUAUUAAGCCUCACACUCACACUUUCCCUGAAGCUUUCCAUGGCCCCUUGUAACUCCUCUCUUCAUUCCUUCAUCCACAGAGUUCAUCCCCAGCAAAUCCUGCUCACUAAAUAACUCAAAACAUGAUGUUAAUUCAUCAUCUUUAUUUAUCACAGCAGCCUAGGUUUUGUUGGUCUAUCAGCGUUGUGGUUUCACCUUCCCAGCACACGUUCAGCCAAAAUGCACGCAAAACACGACUCCAUCCCAGAAGCAAAUCCAUCCAUAACUCACUAAACUCCUUCUCCACAACACAACACAACACAACACAACACAACACAGCAUGCCUCUGUUCUUCUUUACGAGUGAGGUUAUAUAGGUUUCUGUUUCACAACAGCUUUAUCCUAAAGGAUAUUCAAUGUGCAGUGUAACACAGUUGUCAUAAUUUAUUGUCAAGCCAAAAAGGCUUUAUUUAUAUAAGUUUAUUUUGCAAGACUGAGGUUUUGAGGUAGAAACAGAAGCAGUACAAAACAAACCCAUUUCCAGUAUAUCC
ensembl:lncRNA